GUUCCCGUCCUUGAGGACGCCGUGCCGGGUCAGUGUUAGCCUCCAGCCCUGGUUGUGGAAGGCGACAGAAGUCAUGGCGAUGUUUGAGCAGAUGAGAGCCAACGUGGGCAAGUUGCUCAAGGGUACAAUCCUGAGAACCUGGCCACCCUGGAGCGCUAUGUAGAGACGCAGGCCAAGGAAAAUGCCUAUGAUCUGGAAGCCAACCUGGCUGUCCUGAAGCUGUACCAGUUCAACCCAGCCUUCUUUCAGACCACGGUCACCGCCCAGAUCCUGCUGAAGGCCCUCACCAACUUGCCGCACACAGACUUCACCCUGUGCAAGUGCAUGAUCGACCAGGCACAUCAAGAAGAACGGCCAAUCCGACAGAUUUUGUACCUCGGGGACCUGCUGGAGACCUGCCAUUUCCAGGCCUUCUGGGUAACUUCCCUGGGGUCCAGGGGCAGGGGAGAUGGCAGGGCCAUGUGGAGCUGAGUGCUAAAAGUAACAACGGUGCACACUGACUGGCUU
rnacentral:lncRNA from 1 species